GGGUGUAGGUUCUGUCCGAAUUUGGGCUUGGAACAUGUUUCAAAUAUCAACUUAAAUGAAUUCCAAUUGGCCAAAGUGAGUAAAAGUCACUAAUUCAAAAAGUCAACCUUUGGUCCACUUGAAUUUUAAAUGGAACAAGUCAAAAAAUGCCAUUUUGAUUGGCAAGGUUUUGGUACAUGAUAUUUAUAUUUUUGGAAAGAGGAGAUGAAAUGUGGUUUGUAGGAAAAAAC
rnacentral:lncRNA from 1 species